rnacentral:lncRNA from 1 species
GCUCAAGUCCUGCUGCAUGAACUUUCUGAUGACUGCCUAUGUUCACUCAAGGCCUUUGGUCUCUACAAUUAGCAGGUGGCAAAGCCAGCCAGGCCUGUGUUCUUUCCUUUAGGGCAGUGAGUGCCCUCAGUCCCUGGCUGGGUCCAGAAAUGCCAUUCAGAAGUCAGGGAGUAGAGUCAAAAAUUUUAGAAGUCCACUUGACAUUCUAUUGCAUUGCAGCUGAUCUGGCACUCAAACCACAAGACAUAGUCCUUCCUAUUCCUCCCUUCCUUUCCUAAAGGCAGGGUAGCCACCACCACCUCAGGCCACAGUGAGUACUGCCAGGCUACCACCAAUGUUCCCUUAAGGCCCAAAGCCUCUUGUCAGCUUGUGAUGAAUGCUGCCUGGCCUGGGACUUGCGUUUUCAGGACAAUGGGAUCCCUACUGGCCCUGGGCAGCUUCAUAAAUGCCAACCAAGAAUCAAGUCCUAGAAUCAGGGAUUCUGAAAGUUCGCUUGGUGCUCUACCCACCUCUGGCCUUGCUGGUACCUAAGGGGCAAGAAAAAGUCCCCUUUAAUUUUCCCUCUACUUUUCCCAAGAAGAAGGAGUUUUGCCUUUUAGCCACCACAGCUAGUAAUGUGCUGACCUCACCUAAAUCUAGCAAGUCUAUGAGGGUCAUCCAAGGCCCUUGAUGUAGUACCUGGGUAUGGCUACUGGUUAUUCAGAGCCCAAAGGUUUUCAAGUUUGCAGGCGAUAAAUCCUGCCAGCACAUGGUUCUUUUCUUCAAGGCAGCAGGUUUCUUUCUGGCCCAGGGUGUGUCUAGGAAUGUCUAGGAGCCAGAGACUGGAAAGGAGGCUGCAGGAUUCUGACCAGUGCACUAUCUUGCUGUGGCUGAGCUGGUGCCCAGGAUGAAAGACAAAGUACUCCCUAUUCUUUUCCUUCCUCUCCUCAAGCAGAAGGAUGGGGUCCCUUUUGGAGCCAUGAGCUGUGCAGUCUGGUGUUAGCAGAGUGAUAAUGCCAGAACUCCUUUGGCUGCCCCAGCUGGUGUCUCAGUAUGUUGCAUGCCCUCCCCACCCCAGUCCACUGUCCCUGGGCCCCAUUCAGCCCUAGGCCUCACCUAAGAGUUACAGUCCUGAUGGCCUAGGCUGCCUUUCAAGUUUUCUUAGACACACAGAGUGCGGGAGCCCUUAGUUGCCAGGUUUCCAAACACUGAAGUUCCAACCACUGGAAUCUGAUUCUCCUCUGGCUAGGGCUGGCUUAAUUGAUCGCUCUGUGGAUCAGCAUUAACUGCACUUGGUCUGGUUUUCCUUUCUGCUCUAACAGGACAGCACUGAGUUCAGUGCCUCACAAUUGCUGUGUUCUCCCUCCCGCAGAACCCAGAGUUGAUCUCUGCAGCAUGCCAUCACUGCUGGGGAUGAGGAAACGGUGAUUUCAGGACUUUUUUCUGUCUCUUCAGUGCCUCUUUCAGUGAUCUGAGGUUAAAACCAGAGGGACAAUCAGUGGAGCCUUCUUUCUGCCGUCUUGCUUUACUCUCACACCCAAGAAUCAGAAUUCAGAACUUUUAAUAAGAAAAGCUUUCAGAACUAAGGAAGGACAAGGAAGACAUUCUGGUUCUCCAUGCUUAACAUUGGACUGUUUCUUCAACUUAGGUGCAUAGCACUGACUAAUCAGGGAUUAUCAUAGAUAAUUUGACUUGGACUAUGCCGUUCAUUCAAAUUCUUUAUCUAGACAAUUUAAGUACUAGCUGAUUUGGCAUGAAAAUCUGGCAAAGUAUUUUCUUGGUAUUCAAUUGAUUUUUAUUCUGCUUGGGUUAGCAGUUUUAUUAACCAGUUAGUCUCUUCAUUAAAGUUCUGGGAAUUCUUGCCCAGUUCAAAUAAUAUCAUUCUAAAGUUCUCAAAAACCUGUAUUCAAGAGUGCUUCUCAGGGCCUUCUCCAUCCUUUCAUGAACCUCCUUAAAGAUACAAUAUUCCAGGAUUUUGCAAGCUUGUAAAGUUUUCAGAAACUGCCUCAGAAUUAAUCAAUUUACUGUGGAAAUGACUUUAAGUUGUCAUAGUCAGACACAAUUGACAAGAAAAUUUUAUUUAUUUAUAGGCAUGAGCCACAGCGCCUGGCCUCUAAAGCUAAUUUAAUAAAACUUUAUAAAUGC